rnacentral:rRNA from 1 species
AACGAACGCUGGCGGCAUGCCUAACACAUGCAAGUCGAACGAGACCUUCGGGACUAGUGGCGCACGGGUGCGUAACGCGUGGGAACCUGCCCUUAGGUUCGGAAUAACUCCCCGAAAGGGGUGCUAAUACCGGAUAAUGUCUUCGGACCAAAGAUUUAUCGCCUUUGGAUGGGCCCGCGUUGGAUUAGCUAGUUGGUAGGGUAAAAGCCUACCAAGGCGACGAUCCAUAGCUGGUCUGAGAGGAUGAUCAGCCACACUGGGACUGAGACACGGCCCAGACUCCUACGGGAGGCAGCAGUGGGGAAUAUGGGACGAUGGGCGAAAGCCUGAUCCAGCAAUGCCGCGUGAGUGAUGAAGGCCUUAGGGUUGUAAAGCUCUUUUACCCGGGAUGAUAAUGACAGUACCGGGAGAAUAAGCUCCGGCUAACUCCGUG